rnacentral:rRNA from 1 species
GCAUAUCAAUAAGCGGAGGAAAAGAAACCAACAGGGAUUGCCUCAGUAACGGCGAGUGAAGCGGCAACAGCUCAAAUUUGAAAUCUGGCGCCUUCGGCGUCCGAGUUGUAAUUUGUAGAGGAUGUUUCGGCGAGGGCUCCCGUCUAAGUCCCUUGGAACAGGGCGUCGCAGAGGGUGAGAAUCCCGUAUGUGAUGGGUUGCUCGAGCCAUGUGAAACUCCUUCGACGAGUCGAGUUGUUUGGGAAUGCAGCUCUAAAUGGGAGGUAAAUUUCUUCUAAAGCUAAAUACCGGCCAGAGACCGAUAGCGCACAAGUAGAGUGAUCGAAAGAUGAAAAGCACUUUGGAAAGAGAGUUAAAAAGUACGUGAAAUUGUUGAAAGGGAAGCGCUUGCAACCAGACUCGCGCGCAGUUGCUCAGCCGGUCUCCUGACCGGUGUACUCUUCUGCGUCCGGGCCAGCAUCAGUUCGGGCGGUCGGAUAAAGGCCUCGGGAAUGUGGCUCCCCUCGGGGAGUGUUAUAGCCCGGGGUGCAAUGCGGCCAGCCUGGACUGAGGAACUCGCUUCGGCUAGGAUGCUGGCGUAAUGGUUGUAAGCGGCCCGUCUUGAAACACGGACCAAGGAGUCUAACAUCUAUGCGAGUGUUUGGGUGUCAAACCCAUGCGCGUAAUGAAAGUGAACGGAGGUGGGAACCCUCACGGGUGCACCAUCGACCGAUCCUGAUGUCUUCGGAUGGAUUUGAGUAAGAGCAUAGCUGUUGGGACCCGAAAGAUGGUGAACUAUGCCUGAAUAGGGUGAAGCCAGAGGAAACUCUGGUGGAGGCUCGCAGCGGUUCUGACGUGCAAAUCGAUCGUCAAAUUUGGGUAUAGGGGCGAAAGACUAAUCGAACCAUCUAGUAGCUGGUUCCUGCC